rnacentral:rRNA from 1 species
CCAGACUCCUACGGGAGGCAGCAGUGGGGAAUAUUGCACAAUGGGGGAAACCCUGAUGCAGCGACGCCGCGUGAGUGAAGAAGUAAUUCGUUAUGUAAAGCUCUAUCAGCAGGGAAGAAAAUGACGGUACCUGAGUAAGAAGCCCCGGCUAACUACGUGCCAGCAGCCGCGGUAAUACGUAGGGGGCAAGCGUUAUCCGGAUUUACUGGGUGUAAAGGGAGCGCAGACGGCAGUGCAAGUCUGGAGUGAAAGCCCGGGGCCCAACCCCGGGACUGCUCUGGAAACUGUACGGCUAGAGUACGGGAGGGGCAGGCGGAAUUCCUAGUGUAGCGGUGAAAUGCGUAGAUAUUAGGAGGAACACCAGUGGCGAAGGUGGCCUGCUGGACGGUAACUGACGCUGAGGCUCGAAAGCGUGGGGAGCAAACAGGAUUAGAUACCCCUGUAAC